UCCAUCCGUCCAUCAAAUCCCGCAGCGGUAACGAAAGCCGUGCUUCCCUUCUCCACCUUCGCCUCGCCCUCGAGAUCAAAUCGAAACCUCCUUCGCUCGCCAUCGUUGUUCUCCGGCCUCUCUCUCUCCGGAACCGGAAGCCGGCAAGGAACCGCUUCGAUUGACCGAGCCCCCCUUCCGUCGCCGCCGAAGGGUGAAGCAGCAGCAGAAGCAGAAGAAGAAGAAGAAGCAGCGGCAGAAGGAGGAGGAGGGAGCGAGACUAGCCCUAGCCUUCCGGGUCGCCGGAGUUCUCGAUCGAUUGAUUGGAUUCCUUGGGGUCGUCGGAAGAUGGCGGUGUCGGAGGAAGAGUGCUCGACGGCGAGGUCCGGGGCAUCCGCGUCGACGGCGCCGCGCGACACGCACUACCUGGCCAAGUGCGUCGUCCGCGGGAGCGCCGUCCUUCAGGUGGCCCGCGGCCACCUCCGCUCGCCCUCCUCUCGGGACGUCGUUUUCGGCAAGGAGACAUCCAUAGAGCUGGCAUUCAUUGGCGAUGAUGGGGUUGUGCAGUCCAUCUGCGAGCAGCCUGUGUUUGGUACAAUUAAGGAUCUUGCAAUCAUGCCCUGGAAUGAGAAGUUUGAUGCACAUGACAUUCAGAUGAAGGGGAAGGAUCUGUUGGUUGUUAUAUCUGAUUCCGGGAAGCUUUCAUUUCUCACAUUUUGCGGAGAAAUGAACAGGUUUUUGCCGGUGACAAGUGUGCAACUGUCCAACCCUGGAAACUCAAGAAAUCAGCUUGGUAGAAUGUUAGCUGUUGAUUCAGUAGGUGGUUUUGUAGCUGUUAGUGCAUAUGAGGACCGAUUUGCUCUCUUCUCGGUUUCAGUUUCUGUUGGAAGCUAUACUAUUGAUCAGAGGAUUUUUUAUCCCCCUGAUAAUGGAGACACAUUUGCUGGAAGAAGCUUCCAGAAGCCCAAUAUAUGUGGAACUAUAUGGAGCAUGUGUUUUCUAUCAAAUCAACCAAGUAAGGAGCAUGAUACUGUAUUAGCCAUUCUUCUGAAUAGGAGGGGUGCAAGUCUGAAUGAGCUGUUGCUAUUCGGAUGGAAUAUUAGAGAGCACGACUUGCAUUUUAUUUCUCAGUACGUUGAAGCUGGACCGUUAGCGCAUAGUCUCAUUGAAGUUCCUCAUCUUCAUGGAUAUGCCUUUUUGAUGAGGCUUGGUGAUGUUCUCUUGAUGGAUCUUCGAGAUGCUUGCAAUCCCUGUUGUGUUUAUAGGACAAGUUUGAAUUCUUUACCUCCUUCAGUGGAGGAGAUUGAUGUGGUGGAAGAAACAUGUAGUGUACAUGACUUCAGCAUGGAUGAUGAAGGGUCCAACGAUGCUGCCUGUGCUUUAUUGAAGCUGAGGGAUCAUGACCCCAUGUGUAUAGAUGACGACGAUUGCAAUGCUAAAUCGAGCUCCAGAUAUGUCUGCUCCUGGAGUUGGGAACCUGGAAACUCCAGCAAUCAGAGAAUGAUAUUUUGUGUAGAUACAGGAGAACUUUUCAUAAUUGAAGUUUCAUCUGAUUUUAAUGGACUUAAAGUUAAUUUACCUGAAUGUCUAUAUAGAGAUCUACCAUGCAAGGCUCUUCUGUGGGUAGAAGGUGGAUACUUGGCUGCAAUUGUUGAGAUGGGAGACGGGAAGAUCCUGAAAUUUGAAAAUGGAAAGCUAACAUAUACAAAUCCUAUCCAAAGUAAUUGUCCUAUCUUGGAUAUGUCACCGGCAGAUUUUCGUGAUGAAAAACAAGAUCAGAUGUUUGUUUGUUGUGGAGUGGCACCCGAAGGAUCACUCAGAAUUAUUGGAAGUGGCAUCAAUGUUGAGAAGCUGUUGAAAACUGCUUCCAUUUAUCAAGGCAUAACUGGUAUUUGGACGAUGAAGAUGAAAGUGACAGACUCUUAUCAUUCUUUCCUUGUGCUAUCAUUUGUCGAGGAAACAAGGGUACUAUCCGUUGGACUAAGCUUUACAGAUGUGACUGAUGCAGUCGGUUUCCAGCCUGAUGUCUGUACUUCGGCCUCUGGCCUUGUAGGAGAUGGUUGGCUAAUCCAGAUACACCGGAGUGCCGUGAGGCUUUGUUUGCCCACCAAGGCUGCCCACUCAGAAGGUAUUCCUUCAUCCUCACCAAUAUGCGCAACUUGGUCUCCUAGUAAUGUUGGUAUUAGUAUGGGUGCAGUGGGACAUCACUUUGUUGUGAUUUCUACUUCUAAUCCUUGCCUUCUAAUAGUUCUGGGGAUUAAAGUCCUUUCCACAUAUCAAUAUGAAUUAUUUGAAGUGCACCAUCUGAGAUUUCAAAGUGAAAUUUCCUGCAUUUCUGUACCUCAGAAUUACUUUGAUCAAGAGCAGUCCCGUUCCUACGUCAGUGGAAUAGAUAUUAAGCAUGCUGAAUCUCUUCUUCAAGGUGUUCAUAUUGGUAAUAUCAUUGUUAUUGGCACGCAUAGGCCUUCUGUGGAAGUUGUUUCUAUCAUGCCUGAUCAAGGCCUUCGAGUGAUUGCAUCAGGGACCAUAUCGUUAACAAGUAUCAUGGGCACUGUAGUCAGCGGUUGUAUCCCCCAGGACGUAAGGCUUGUAUUAGUCGACAAGUUAUAUGUUCUUUCUGGUUUGAGGAAUGGAAUGCUCCUCCGUUUUGAGUGGCCUACAGCCUCAUGGAUGAAUUCUUCAGAGUUACUAUGUCAGAACUCUUCUAGUACUUAUUGUGGAAAUCCGCGUGCAGCAAUUUCAGAGACAAAGGCAAAUUAUUUCAGCCAAGGAAUGUCGACUGGUGCUUCAUCUGGGAAAUUUGGAGAUUGCUUUCCUAUUGAUCUUCAAUUAAUAGCCACUCGUCGAAUCGGCAUAACUCCUGUUUUUCUGGUGCCCUUGAGUGAUUCUUUGUAUUCGGACAUGAUUGCUCUCAGUGAUAGACCGUGGUUGUUGCAAACAGCAAGGCAUAGCCUAUCUUUUACGUCGAUUUCCUUUCAACCUUCAACUCAUGUAACUCCAGUUUGUUCGGCUGAGUGCACCAAGGGAGUUCUAUUUGUUGCCGAAAACAGUCUACAUUUGGUGGAAAUGGUGCGUAGCAAGAGGCUUAAUGUACAAAAGUUUCAGAUUGACGGUACUCCACGAAAGGUCUUGUAUCAUAGCGAUAGCAGGCUACUACUUGUGAUGAGGACUGAAUUAAGUUCUGUUACAUGCACGUCAGACAUAUGUUGCGUGGAUCCUUACAGUGGCUCAGUGUUGUCAACUUUUAAACUUGAACCAGAAGAAACUGGAAAAUGCAUGGAGUUAGUGAGGGUUGGGAGGGAACAGGUAGUUGUGAUUGGGACCAGUCUAUCUUCUGGUCCUGCUAUAAUGCCCAGUGGUGAAGCUGAGAGUACCAAAGGCCGUCUGAUUGUGCUCUGCCUUGAGCAAACGCAGAAUUCGUACGGUGGUCCAACAGCAUUCUUCAGAAAGACGGGUUCAUUUUCUCAACGUAGUUCACCAUUUCGUGAGAGUGUUGGAUAUGCGACCGAGCAUCUAUCGAGUAGUAGUUUUUGCAGCAGUGAAGAUGAUAUUAAUUGUGAGGGAAUCAAACUUGAAGAAAGUGAAGUAUGGCAGUUACGAUUGGCUUAUUCAACUAUAUGGACAGGAAUGGUGCUUGCUGUUUGUCCUUAUCUGGAUCAUCUGUUUUUGGCAUCAGCUGGCAAUACUUUUUAUGUAUGUGGUUUUAUAAAUGACAAUCCACAAAAGGUGAAAAGGUUUGCUAUGGGAAGGACUCGUUUUAUGAUUACGUCUUUGACGUCGCAUUUUACCAGAAUUGCUGUUGGUGAUUGCCGUGAUGGUAUUCUUUUCUACUCUUAUCAUGAGGAUGGCAGAAAACUAGAGCAAGAUUACUCUGAUCCAUCCCAAAGAUUAGUUGCUGAUUGUACUCUUGUGGAUGUCGACACAGCUGUUGUUUCAGACAGGAAAGGGAGUAUUGCUGUCUUAUCAUCUCCUGAUCGUACAGAAGAUAAUGCAAGUCCAGAGAGCAACUUGACAUUGAGUUGUGCCUAUUAUAUGGGAGAGAUUGGGAUGAGCGUCAAGAAGGGAUCCUUCUCUUAUAAAUUCCCAUCUGAUGAUGUGUUGAAGGCAUCUGAUAACCCAAUUUUGAAUGUUGACUUGGCCCACAAGAUUAUCAUUGUCAGCACAUUACUAGGAAGUAUAACAGUCUUUAUUCCAAUAUCAAGGGAAGAGUAUGAACUCCUAGAAGCAGUCCAGGCUAAACUUGCUGUUCAUCCAUUGACUGCCCCAGUUUUAGGAAAUGAUCAUAAUGAGUUCCGUAGUCGUGAAAACCUGGUCGGGGUACCUAAGAUUCUAGAUGGUGACCUGCUCUCUCAAUUUUUGGAGCUUACAAGCAUGCAACAGGAGGCAGUACUUUCGCUACCUCUUUGUGCUCCAGAGGUCAAAUUGAGUUCAGGACCAUUUUCUCCUAUUCCGGUCAACCAGGUCGUGCAGCUCCUUGAACGGGUUCAUUAUGCCUUAAAUUAGUCCGCCAUUGCAAGUUUCCUUAUGUCGAGCUGUGGAUACGUAUUCGCUGCAUGCUUUAUCCAUGGAAGGAUUCUAUCAAGUUGCAGAAUAUGCCGAUGGCACCGUGUUUAUGGCAGUACAGUUUGCUUUAAGCAAUGAAGUGCCAUCUGAGAUGCCCGAGCAUAGCAUGGGGAGUUACAAACUCAGAUCAAAGACCAUAUAUCACUACUACCUGAGAGUGGAGAAUUUUGCUACAUUGAAGCUCUGUAAACCCCAAUUCUCUAACCAGGAGGAUGCUUGGGCCACCAAAUUUGCGCAGACAGCAAAAGAAUGAAACUGUGCAAAUCAGCUAGGUAACCUUGGGAGGAUUCACCUUGGAGAUUGAGAAGUAUUGAUUGUAUUUGCUACGCAUACGGGUAACAUUUGCAGUCCAAAAUUGCGAGUUAAAGAAUGUUUCCUUUGUUUAA